GUCUAUGGCCAUGCUACCCUGAACAAGCCUGAUCUCGUCUGAUCUCAGAAGCUAAGCAGGGUUGGCCUGGUUAGUACUUGGAUGGGAGACCACCCAGGAGCACCAGGUGCUAUAGGCA
rnacentral:rRNA from 1 species